rnacentral:rRNA from 1 species
CUGGCUCAGGAUGAACGCUGGCGGCGUGCCUAACACAUGCAAGUCGAGCGAUCUCUCGGAAGAGAGCGGCGGACGGGUGAGUAACGCGUGGGUAACCUGCCCUGUACACACGGAUAACAUACCGAAAGGUAUGCUAAUACGGGAUAAUAUGAGAGAUUCGCAUGGCUUUCUUAUCAAAGCUCCGGCGGUACAGGAUGGACCCGCGUCUGAUUAGUUAGUUGGUGAGGUAACGGCUUACCAAGGCGACGAUCAGUAGCCGACCUGAGAGGGUGAUCGGCCACAUUGGAACUGAGACACGGUCCAAACUCCUACGGGAGGCAGCAGUGGGGAAUAUUGCACAAUGGGCGAAAGCCUGAUGCAAGCAACGCCGCGUGAGCGAUGAAGGCCUUCGGGUCGUAAAGCUCUGUCCUCAAGGAAGAUAAUGACGGUACUUGAGGAGGAAGCCCCGGCUAACUACGUGCCAGCCGCAGC